rnacentral:rRNA from 1 species
AAUCAACGCUGGCGGCGUGCCUAACACAUGCAAGUCGAGCGCGAAAGGGGGCAACCCCGAGUAGAGCGGCGAACGGGUGAGUAACGCGUGGGUGAUUUGCCUCCGAGUGGGGAACAACACCGGGAAACUGGUGCUAAUACCGCAUGACAUCCUCGGGUCGUACUGGGGAUCAAAGCUGGGGACCGCAAGGCCUAGCGCUUGGAGAGAAGCCCGCGUCCGAUUAGCUAGUUGGUGGGGAAUGGCCUACCAAGGCGACGAUCGGUAGCCGGCCUGAGAGGGCGGACGGCCACACUGGGACUGAGACACGGCCCAGACUCCUACGGGAGGCAGCAGUGGGGAAUUUUUCGCAAUGGGGGAAACCCUGACGAAGCAACGCCGCGUGGAGGAUGAAGGCC